GGCCGCGGGAAUUCGAUUCAGGCCUAACACAUGCAAGUCGAGCGAAGUCUUCGGACUUAGCGGCGGACGGGUGAGUAACGCGUGGGAACAUACCCUUUGGUACGGAAUAGCCUCGGGAAACUGGGAGUAAUACCGUAUGUGCCCUUCGGGGGAAAGAUUUAUCGCCAAAGGAUUGGCCCGCGUUGGAUUAGGUAGUUGGUGGGGUAAUGGCCUACCAAGCCGACGAUCCAUAGCUGGUUUGAGAGGAUGAUCAGCCACACUGGGACUGAGACACGGCCCAGACUCCUACGGGAGGCAGCAGUGGGGAAUCUUAGAAGGUGGGCGCAAGCCUGAUCUAGCCAUGCCGCGUGAUUAAAGGGGGCCUUAGGGUUGUAAAGAUCUUUCAGCUGGGAAGAUAAUGACGGACCAGCAGA
rnacentral:rRNA from 1 species